GAUGAACGCUGGCGGCGUGCCUAAUACAUGCAAGUCGAGCGAAUGGAUUAAGAGCUUGCUCUUAUGAAGUUAGCGGCGGACGGGUGAGUAACACGUGGGUAACCUGCCCAUAAGACUGGGAUAACUCCGGGAAAGCGGGGAUCAUACCGGAUAACAUUUUGAAUCGCAUGGUUCGAAAUUGAAAGGCGUCUUCGGCCGUCACUUAUGGAUGGACCCGCGUUGCAUUAGCUAGUUGGUGAGGGAACGGCUCACCAAGGCAACGCUGCGUAGCCGACCUGGGAGGGUGAUCGGCCACACUGGGACUGGGACACGGCCCAGAAUCCUACGGGAGGCAGCAGUAGGGAAUCUUCCGCAAUGGACGAAAGUCUGACGGAGCAACGCCGCGUGAGUGAUGAAGGCUUUCGGGUCGUAAAACUCUGUUGUUAGGGAAGAACAAGUGCUAGUUGAAUAAGCUGGCACCUUGACGGUACCUAACCAGAAAGCCACGGCUAACUACGUGCCAGCCGCCGCCGUAA
rnacentral:rRNA from 1 species